rnacentral:rRNA from 1 species
UACGGGGGGAGCAAGCGUUGUUCGGAUUUACUGGGCGUAAAGGGCGCGUAGGCGGCGCAACAAGUCACUUGUGAAAUCUCCGGGCUUAACCCGGAGCGGUCAAGUGAUACUGUCGUGCUAGAGUGCGGAAGGGGCAACUGGAAUUCUCGGUGUAGCGGUGAAAUGCGUAGAUAUCGGGAGGAACACCGGUGGCGAAGGCGGUUCUCUGGGCCUUACCUGACGCUGAGGAGCGAAAGCGUGGGGAGCGAACAGG